rnacentral:ncRNA from 1 species
AUACGAGGACAGAUUUGACCGCUUGCAACCUCGUCAAAAAAUGCUAAAAGA